AUGGGGUCUCUAUGGGGUCUGAAUGGGUCCUGGCUGCACCAGGCCGUGUGUUGGCGGCUCCAUCAGCGCCGUCUGUCCUUCCCCACAGGCCUGAUGGCGGCCGUGACGUUGGACGAGUCUGGGGGCGGCCUGCAGACGCCCGGAGGGGGGCUGAGCCUCGUCUGCAAGGCCUCCAGAUUCACCCUCAGCAGUUAUACCAUGCAGUGGGUCCGACAGGCGCCCGGCGAGGGGCUGGAAUACGUCGCAGGUAUCAGCUACAGUGCUGGUAGUUACACAUACUACGGGUCGGCGGUGAAGGACCGUGCCACCAUCUCGAGGGACAACGAUCAGAGCACGGUGACCCUGCAGCUGAACAGCCUGACGACCGACGACACCGCCACCUAUUACUGCGCGAAAAGUGCUUACAGUUGUAGUUGGGCUGGUAGCGAUAAUCACACCGGCGUCACUCCUGGAUUUGGUGGCAUCGCCCACGGCCCUGGUUGA